rnacentral:rRNA from 1 species
CACGUAGGGUGCGAGCGUUGUCCGGAAUUAUUGGGCGUAAAGAGCUCGUAGGCGGUGUGUCGCGUCGGCCGUGAAAACCUGCAGCUUAACUGUGGGCUUGCGGUCGAUACGGGCAUCACUGGAGUUCGGCAGGGGGGACUGGAAUUCCUGGUGUAGCGGUGAAAUGCGCAGAUAUCAGGAGGAACACCGGUGGCGAAGGCGGUUCUCUGGGCAUUACCUGACGCUGAGGAGCGAAAGUGUGGGGAGCGAACAGG